CAUGCGGUGCCUGGCGCUGACGCUGGUUUUUCAGUGGGUGAUCGGGUAGCGGCAUGACCGAAAGAGGU
rfam:Marinobacter sp. T13-3 scaffold_32, whole genome shotgun sequence.